UACGGAGGAUGCGAGCGUUAUCCGGAUUUAUUGGGUUUAAAGGGUGCGUAGGCGGCCUUGUAAGUCAGCGGUGAAAUUUUGCAGCUUAACUGUAAAAGUGCCGUUGAUACUGUGAGGCUAGGAUUUGGUUGCUGUGGGUGGAAUGUGUGGUGUAGCGGUGAAAUGCUUAGAGAUCACACAGAAUAUCGAUUGCGAAGGCAGCUCACAAAGCCAAGAUUGAUGCUGAGGCACUAAAGUGUGGGGAGUCAAACA
rnacentral:rRNA from 1 species